GCGACCCCAGGUCAGGCGGGGUUACCCGCUGAGUUUAAGCAUAUCAAUAAGCGGAGGAAAGAAACUUACA
rnacentral:rRNA from 1 species